UCACUUUCUUAGUAACUAGACAACACAAACUACAAAAUAAAAUUUGAUUCGGUGUCAGAGCCAUAGAUCAAACACUCUAAUGGCAUCUUUAAGCUUAAUUACUAACAUUUCAUCCUCAAUUUCAUCAUUCACUUUUACAACACCAAUUAAACUUAAUAGAUCAAACUACACAAUCUAAAAAUUGCAUAUCCUUUCCUCUGUUCAAGCAUAUGAGCUGGAAAGUCUUCUUAAUGGAUCGCGAGUUUGUCCAAAUCAAUUCCUCACUUGUGAUUCAACAAACUCCAAUGCUGUUGAAUAUGAAAAUCCUACAUAUGUUGUGUAGAAGAAGCAAAUCAAAUGUUGUU
rnacentral:lncRNA from 1 species